rnacentral:rRNA from 1 species
CCUUGAUGACGACUGGCGCACGGGUGAGUAACGCGUAUCCAACCUUCCCAUAACUACGGGAUAACCCGUUGAAAGACGGCCUAAUACCGUAUGAUAUCGUUUGCUGACAUCAAAUAACGAUUAAAGGUUUAGCGGUUAUGGAUGGGGAUGCGUCUGAUUAGCUUGUUGGCGGGGUAACGGCCCACCAAGGCUACGAUCAGUAGGGGUUCUGAGAGGAAGGUCCCCCACAUUGGAACUGAGACACGGUCCAAACUCCUACGGGAGGCAGCAGCC